CCUACGGGAGGCUGCAGUGGGGAAUAUUGGGCAAUGGGCGCAAGCCUGACCCAGCAACGCCGCGUGAAGGAAGAAGGCCCUCGGGUUGUAAACUUUUUUUAACAGGGACGAAGAAAGUGACGGUACCUGUUGAAUAAGCCACGGCUAACUACGUGCCAGCAGCCGCGGUAAUACGUAGGUGGGAAGCGUUAUCCGGAUUUCAUGGGUGUAAAGGGGGUGUAGGCGGGAGAGCAAGUCCGACGUGAAAUUCCAGGGCUCAACCCUGGAACUGCGUUUGAAACUGUUCUUCUUGAGUGAUGGAGAGGCAGGCGGAAUUCGGGGUGUAGCGGUGAAAUGCUUAGAUAUUGCGCAGAACGCGGAUUGCGAAGGCAGCAUACCGGCGGCGAUCUGACGCUGAGGCACGAAAGCGUGGGUAUCGAACAGGAUUAGAUACCCUAGUAGUC
rnacentral:rRNA from 1 species